rnacentral:piRNA from 1 species
GAUGGGACUGUAUUCUUUUGGUUU